rnacentral:rRNA from 1 species
AUAAUUUUAAGGGCCGCGGUAUUAUGACCGUGCAAAGGUAGCAUAAUAAUUAGUCUUUUAAUUGAAGGCUCGUAUGAAUGGUUGGACAAAAGGAAUACUGUCUCUGUUUUAUUACUUGAAAUUAACUUUUAAGUGAAAAGGCUUAAAUAUAUCAGAGGGACGAUAAGACCCUAUAAAGCAUUAGGUUGGGGCGACAAAGGUAUAAUUUUUAACUGCUUUAUAAAAAUACAUAAAAUAAAUGUAACGAUCCUUUAUAUUGAGAUUUAAAGAUUAAGUUACUUUAGGGAUAACAGCGUUAUUUUCUUUGAGAGUUCAUAUCGAAAAGAAAGCUUGCGACCUCGAUGUUGAAUUAAAUUUUCUAUAUGGCGCAGCAGCUAUAUAAGAAGGUCUGUUCGACCUUUAAAAUUUU